rnacentral:rRNA from 1 species
CGAGCACGCGCGUGUGGCAUAUCAAUAAGCGGAGGAAAAGAAACUAACAAGGAUUCCCUUAGUAACGGCGAGUGAAGCGGGAAGAGCUCAAAUUUGAAAUCUUCAAGGUUCUACCUUGACGAAUUGUAGUUUAUAGAAGUGUUUUCUGUUAGUGGAGUGGUAAAAGUUCUUUGGAAUAGGACAUCAUAGAGGGUGAGAAUCCCGUAUUUGGAUCACUUUCUACUAGCGUCGUGAUACACUUUCAAAGAGUCGGAUUGUUUGGGAAUGCAGUCCAAAAUGGGUGGUAAAUUUCAUCUAAAGCUAAAUAUUGGCGAGAGACCGAUAGCGUAACAAGUACCGUGAGGGAAAGAUGAAAAGAACUUUGAAAAGAGAGUUAAACAGUACGUGAAAUUGUCAAAAGGGAAGCGUUUGACACCAGUGUUGUUUUUCCGAAAAUCAAUUACGAAUGUUUUAUUUUUGAGGAGUUAUGACUUCAUCGGCUUGCUCCUUUCUUUACGAAACUUUCUUAAUGCACUUUUCGGUUAACAAGUCAACAUCAAUUUCUUUUGUUGUAAAAGGGUAUGAGGAAGGUGGCUUUCUUUUCGGAGAAAGUGUUUAUAGCCUUGUGCCUCUGCAAUCGGAGAGAUUGAGGUCUGCAGCGUAGAUCCUUCGGGGUUAGAUACGUUUGUGCUAAGUUAUAGCUUUUCAUAGACAACUUGUUGACUAUGUUUAGUCUUGUAGCUUACUCGCUGACGCUAUUUUACCUACGCUUAGGAUGUUGAUGUGAUACUGCGAGCA